rnacentral:rRNA from 1 species
UACAGAGGUCUCAAGCGUUAAUCGGAAUCACUGGGCUUAAAGGGUGCGUAGGCUGUCUCGCAAGUGCCUUGUGAAAUCCCAUGGCUCAACCAUGGAAUUGCUCGGUAGACUGCGGGGCUUGAGGUCGGUAGAGGUCGCUGGAACUCUAGGUGGAGCGGUGAAAUGCGUAGAUAUCUAGAGGAACGCCAAUGGUGAAGACAGGCGACUGGGCCGAUUCUGACGCUGAGGCACGAAAGCGUGGGUAGCAAACGGG